rnacentral:rRNA from 1 species
AACGAACGCUGGCGGCAGGCCUAACACAUGCAAGUCGAGCGAGGACUUCGGUCCUAGCGGCGGACGGGUGAGUAACGCGUGGGAAUAUGCCCAAAGGUACGGAAUAGCCUCGGGAAACUGGGAGUAAUACCGUAUGUGCCCUUCGGGGGAAAGAUUUAUCGGAGAAGGAUCGGCCCGCGUUGGAUUAGGUAGUUGGUGGGGUAACGGCCCUACCCAAGCCUACGAUCAGUAGCUGGUCUGAGAGGAUGAUCAGCCACAUUGGGACUGAGACACGGCCCAAACUCCUACGGGAGGCAGCAGUGGGGAAUAUUGGACAAUGGGCGCAAGCCUGAUCCAGCAAUGCCGCGUGGGUGAAGAAGGUCUUCGGAUUGUAAAGCCCUUUCGACGGGGACGAUGAUGACGGUACCCGUAGAAGAAGCCCCGGCUAACUUCGUG